rnacentral:rRNA from 1 species
UACGGGGGGGGCAAGCGUUGUUCGGAAUUACUGGGCGUAAAGGGCUCGUAGGCGGCCAACUAAGUCGGACGUGAAAUCCCUCAGCUUAACUGGGGAACUGCGUCCGAUACUGGAUGGCUUGGAUUUGGGAGAGGGAUGCGGAAUUCCAGGUGUAGCGGUGAAAUGCGUAGAUAUCUGGAGGAACACCGGUGGCGAAGGCGCCACUCUGGGCCGAAACUGACGCUGAGGAGCGAAAGCGUGGGUAGCAAACAGG